rnacentral:rRNA from 1 species
UACGUAGGGUGCAAGCGUUGUCCGGAAUUAUUGGGCGUAAAGAGCUCGUAGGCGGUCUGUCGCGUCGGCUGUGAAAACCCGGAGCUCAACUCCGGGCCUGCAGUCGAUACGGGCAAACUGGAGUGUUGCAGGGGAGACUGGAAUUCCUGGUGUAGCGGUGAAAUGCGCAGAUAUCAGGAGGAACACCGGUGGCGAAGGCGGUUCUCUGGGACGGUACUGACGCUGAGACGCGAAAGCGUGGGGAGCGAACAGG